AUUGAACGCUGGCGGCAUGCCUUACACAUGCAAGUCGAACGGUAACAGGUCUUCGGAUGCUGACGAGUGGCGAACGGGUGAGUAAUACAUCGGAACGUGCCUAGUAGUGGGGGAUAACUACUCGAAAGAGUGGCUAAUACCGCAUGAGAUCUACGGAUGAAAGCAGGGGAUCGCAAGACCUUGUGCUACUAGAGCGGCCGAUGGCAGAUUAGGUAGUUGGUGGGAUAAAAGCUUACCAAGCCGACGAUCUGUAGCUGGUCUGAGAGGACGAUCAGCCACACUGGGACUGGGAAACGGCCCAGACUCCUACGGGAGGCAGCAGUGGGGAAUUUUGGACAAUGGGCGCAAGCCUGAUCCAGCAAUGCCGCGUGCAGGAUGAAGGCCUUCGGGUUGUAAACUGCUUUUGUACGGAACGAAAAGCCCUGGGUUAAUACCCUGGGGUCAUGACGGUACCGUAAGAAUAAGCACCGGCUAACUACGUGCCAGCCGCCGCCGUAA
rnacentral:rRNA from 1 species